UUUUUUUAAAUUUUUUUAUUUUAAUUUUUUUUUGAACGUCAAGAUAUAGUCAAUUUUUUCUGAAGGUCAAGGUCACGAAAAAAAAGAGGUUGAAGGUUAAUUGGAAUUUAAUAAUAUGAAUUUUGAAAUAUUUACAAGUUUUUCGAGAAAGCUCUGGUUCCGCCUCUGAAGAGUGUGAACUCUGUUCUUCAGUUUUUCUUUUGUACUGUUCACGUCUGGGAACCUCCUUAUAAAAGCACGGUGGACAUGUAUGGACAAGGGCGCAGUUGAUUCUGCGUUGGCCUCCUGCUUUGCGGUUGCCGCGCGUGAGUAGAACCAAAGGUUGUCGCGCGAUUAUAAAAAAAGAUAAAAAGAAACUAAAUUGCAGGAAAGGGAACAUGAAAAUACGGUGAUUUUUAAUGUACGAUCAUACACAAGCAAGUUUCAACUCAUUGUUUGCUUUAAUAUCGAUUUGAAAGAGGUUAAGGAUUCAGCAAUUUUUGCCUCAUGGGGAAGAUUAUUACAAUGGAAGGCUCCGUUACAACUGAAAGCACUUCUUGCCGAUUUCUUUUUUCCGUAUAGGUGGUGCUAAAUCAGUAUUAGAUUGAAAUGCUUCUUUAAGAUUGGGUGCGGUGUGGCCAUUCAAAAUGUUAUGGAUGAAAAUAGAUUUAAGGUAGUUUCGUCUUUUUUCGAAAAGUUUCCAAUUUAGAUUCUCGAGUAACUCAGAUGACUGAAUAUAUCGUAAGUUGCCCCAGUAAUUAAUCUUGCAGCAAGAUAUUGGUAUUUUUUCAACCUAUCUUUGAG